rnacentral:SRP_RNA from 1 species
GCCGGGUGCGGUGGCAUGUGCCUGUAAUCCAAGUCACUGGCAGGCUGAGGUUUGUAGAUCAAGUGAGCUGAGGAGCUCUGAGCUGCAGCACACUAUGGUUCGGUAUCGAUAUGGUGUUCCACGGGGAGCCCGGGACCACCAGGUUGUCUAAGGAGGGGUGAACCGGCCCAGGUCGGAAACGAAGCAGGUCAAAUCCCCCGUGCUGUCCAGUAGUUGGAUAAUACCUGUGAGUAGAUGCUGCAGUGCAGCCUUGGCAAAACAUCGAGACCUAAUCUUUU